rnacentral:rRNA from 1 species
GAUGAACGCUAGCGGCGUGCCUAAUACAUGCAAGUCGAGCGAACAGACGAGGAGCUUGCUCCUCUGACGUUAGCGGCGGACGGGUGAGUAACACGUGGAUAACCUACCUAUAAGACUGGGAUAACUUCGGGAAACCGGAGCUAAUACCGGAUAAUAUAUUGAACCGCAUGGUUCAAUAGUGAAAGACGGUUUUGCUGUCACUUAUAGGUGGAUCCGCGCCGCAUUAGCUAGUUGGUAAGGUAACGGCUUACCAAGGCAACGAUGCGUAGCCGACCUGAGAGGGUGAUCGGCCACACUGGAACUGAGACACGGUCCAGACUCCUACGGGAGGCAGCAGUAGGGAAUCUUCCGCAAUGGGCGAAAGCUUGACGGAGCAACGCCGCGUGAGUGAUGAAGGUCUUCGGAUCGUAAAACUCUGUUAUUAGGGAAGAACAAAUGUGUAAGUAACUAUGCACGUCUUGACGGUACCUAAUCAGAAAGCCACGGCUAACUACGUG